rnacentral:rRNA from 1 species
UGGGGGAUAUUGCACAAUGGGCGCAAGCCUGAUGCAGCGACGCCGCGUGGGGGAUGAAGGCCUUCGGGUUGUAAACUUCUUUUGCUCUGAACAAGGCGCACUUUGGGGUGUGUUGAGUGUAGGGGUUGAUUAGCGCCGGCUAACUACGUGCCAGCAGCCGCGGUAAUACGUAGGGCGCGAGCGUUGUCCGGAAUUAUUGGGCGUAAAGGGCUGGUAGGUGGCUGGUUGCGUCUGUCGUGAAAGCUCAUGGCUUAACUGUGGGUUUGCGGUGGGUACGGGCUGGCUUGAGUGCAGUAGGGGAGGCUGGAAUUCCUGGUGUAGCGGUGGAAUGCGCAGAUAUCAGGAGGAAUACCGGUGGCGAAGGCGGGUCUCUGGGCUGUUACUGACACUGAGGAGCGAAAGCAUGGGGAGCGAACAGG